rnacentral:rRNA from 1 species
GACGAACGCUGGCGGCACGCCUAACACAUGCAAGUCGAACGGAGAUAUUAGCUUCGGUUAAUAUCUUGGUGGCGGACGGGUGAGUAACACGUGAGCAACCUGCCUCUAAGAACGGGAUAGCUUCUGGAAACGGAUGGUAAUACCGUAUAAUGUAUUGGGAAGGCAUCUUUCUAAUACCAAAGAUUUAUCGCUUAGAGAUGGGCUCGCGUCUGAUUAGCUAGAUGGUGAGGUAACGGCCCACCAUGGCGACGAUCAGUAGCCGGACUGAGAGGUUGAACGGCCACAUUGGGACUGAGACACGGCCCAGACUCCUACGGGAGGCAGCAGUGGGGGAUAUUGCACAAUGGGGGAAACCCUGAUGCAGCGAUGCCGCGUGGAGGAAGAAGGUUUUCGGAUUGUAAACUCCUGUCGUAAGGGACGAAGAAGUGACGGUACCU